CAUGUGAAGAUGCAGUGGCAAGUCUGAAGUCUUCAAUCUGCAAGAGGGUUCUCAUCAGAACCAGAUCAUGCCAGCACCCUGAUCUUGGACUUCCAACCUCCAGAACUCCAAUUUAACUUUUCAUCACGUGAACGGACACCUUUAUGAAGACUCCCAAUUAAACUGUUUGCACUCAAGUCUUUUUUCGGGGUCCGCUUCUGGGGAACACUAAAUGAAGAUCUGGUCUGCUGGAUGCUGUAGCACCAUGAUAACCAAGACCGUCCCCUGUCGUAAACUGGUCCCCGAAGAAGAGAGGUACUACCUUACAUAAUCUCUAGCAUGUUAGAGAGAAGGGGUGCUGUUCAUUAUGGCUGGCAGGUGGUACUAAUAGCUUGGUUGUUCCAAGUGCAAUUGGGCAUGGAAGGAAGAAAGUGGCAGGCUCACCUCAGGGCAUGGUGUAAAAGAUCUCCCUGGCAGCAUUUGAAGAUAUCUCUAGCUCAUGCAGCUGAAGGGCACAAUGUGCUAAAAAUCAAAUCAGAAAUUACAAAUAAAGGUGAAUUUACAGCCUUUACAAGUCUCCUGUCAGGCCCUAAUAGGAAAGGAGGGGGGCUCUGAACGGUGGAGUAGGAACAUCUGGGUGGAAAACACUGAGAGCUCUGAACCCACGUCUCUGGACCCUUUGGGCUGGGGGCCCACUUCCUCUGCAACUUCAUAUGAAACAGGUGCCUCCAAAGAUAAAGGGCUUGCCACCCCAAGAUCUGCCCCACCUCAUCUCAGUGCUUCUAGCAGCCCAACUCAUCGCUAGUUACAGCCACCUAGAUAAAUCUGACACAGGCAUUAAACAGAACACGUGUCUUCAAAGGCAUUUUUAAAAACUCUUAAGGUUUUAAAGGUUUACACAACACUGUGCUUUUUGAAUUGGAGUUGUAGCCAUUGCCCCCUGAUUACUUAACAAGAGCAGCUAAUUUGGCUUUCAACACACAGUAGCGAAGAGUCCUUUCAGAGGUAGAGCAGGAAGAAAGAUCAGGGGUUCAAGGCGAAGUUUCUUGUUCCCUGAUCUCACGAGAAGUCUUAUUUACCCUCCCCUGCGUGCCUUCAAUUCCUCUAUCUAGCAUGCCACUCUCUUCGCUGAACUCAGGUGGACUAGAACUGUGGGCACUGAUAAAGGAUGUUUUUGAUGUAUGAAAGUACCUUGUUCUAGAGGAGGAGAUGGAGGGCAAAAGUGCCACAGAGCCAGGAUUGCAAGGGAGGAGGUUUGCCUACCUCCAAAUUCCUGCCACUCACUAGCAUUUAUGAUCUUCACAAAGAUUUCGCUUCUUUGGGCUUCAGUUUCCUCACCGGAAAACUGGAAAUGAUUUCUGUAUUUAAGAGGAUAUGGGUUAAGGGCAACUGUAAUGAGAAAGGCUCCUGACACAUAACAGGCCUCAAGAAAAAGCCCCACAGCUCCCUUCCAUCUGCCCCUGAGCAGCUCACUGGACAACUGCCUUCCUCUCAAAUUGUAACUUGCUAAAAAUAAGCCUCUUUAAAAGAAGGUGGAAUCUAAUUUUUUCUGUUCCCACUCCCACAGGGCCUUUUAGGAUUUGAGCAGGCUUUACCUCAGAUUUCAAAGAAAUGGGGAGAAGCAGACCUCCUCAGGUCUAGUUCAAACCCAAGGACCCCUGGGUACAUCGGGUCUUGCUGUCAGAAGCCCAAGGUCACUGCUGUUUAAGAAAGCCUCCUAGCCUCCAGGUUUCUCUCCUGCCCGUGAGCUGCCUUCAUGGAGUCACAGUGAGCCAAAAGGCAGGGGCCAGGCGUCAAGGCUUCAGAGCCAGCGUGACUGAUUUAAGGCUGCACCACGCACCAGUCACGACCCUGAUGACCUACACUUCCCGAGCACGGGUUGGAGAGUAAUAACGUCACCGUCAUUGGGACGGCUGUGAGAAUCACACACUGUACCAGCACACGGUCACGGCCCAGUAAAGUUUAUAGCACGCACUACAUUUCGUGACCCAAGGCUCUGGUGCAUGUGUGCGGGACACCCACCUGAGGAUGGGCGGCGGUCACAGCUCAGCUUGGUGGACACCAUCCAAAGGAUGCCGGCUUCAGCCUCCUCAACUCUGUCCUUCUUAGAUUCACCCACAACACACAAUGCACCUUCCGUUUGCAACAACACACACUUUUGCAGAUAAAAAAGGUGACCCACACUUUCAUUUUCUUUAUUUUUCAUUGAUACCGUAUGAAUACAAAGUUUCUAGAAAGCUACAAAAUGUCUACCACUUUAUCAAGAAGGCAUCAAAAUGUGUCACUUUGCAAAGACAUGAAAACACCUGCAGGAACUGACACAAAAAUAGCAUUUUUAGAGUGAUGAAAUAAUUGCACUUAACUGUCAUGGAUAUUACAGUUAUCACACAUAUGUACCGCGAAAGCUAGAAUACAUUUUUUUUUUUUUUUACAAAGCACUUUAUAAAAAAAUUCUCUGCACACAAACCCUAUAAUUUUCAUAUAACUAUCAUACUAAAGAUAAAUUCACUUUAAAGCCAACACUUAGAACAUUUUUAAACAAAAGGUACCAGUACCUAAACACAGACGUUAACAAAUACAAGAAUACUGUACUGCCAAGAGGUUUAACCAAAUGCCUUUGAAAGUUUCUGCAAAUAGGUUAGGAAAACGUAUGUGAGAAUUUGCCCCCCACCGCCCCCAUCUCUCCUACCUACCCAAGAGGAACCUUACUGCCCAAAGGCAGGCUCCCUAGCCCACUCCCAGCAGCAGUACAAUAUCAAAGGAACCACUGACCAGAUGAAACGCUUACAUCACAAGCCCAUCUUAUACACGUGACACAAAGACACAGACUGUGAGGAUCCCAUUAAGUCACUUAGAAUGUGAACAAACAUACGUGGCAAAAACCGAUUUACAUACAAUUUAAGCAUAUUCAAGAAUUAAAGGCUAUUCAGGUUUCUUUUUUAAAGGUUACAAAAUUUUUUUUUUGUCAUUUUUUUAGGCACGUAGUUUUGUUUUUACUUGUUUUUUCCUUAUCUGCAGUCAUGAGCCUAUUGAAAAAGGCCUAUAGAAGUGACUCUUUCAAGGAGGUAACAGGGAGAUUUUUUUUUUUAAAAGAAGUGCAGUUAAUACCUAAUUUACACAGUGAAACUAAGCAUGGAAAAAGAGGAAAGAAAGGGAGGGAGGGAAGGAAGGGAGGAAGACAGACCAGAGACAGGUCUCCACUUGAUUUACACCUAGAUCUGUCAGCCUCUUAGGGAAAGGGGAAGGAAAAACAAUCUCAUAAUGGAAGGCAGACAAAGGAGAGUCAACUUGAUAAAGGUGGAAUCUCCUGGAAUCUGUCCCCAUUUAAUGAUGAACGAGAGGAAACACAAACGCCAUUUGGAAUACAGGGCACGGGACAGACUCAAUGCAAAUUCACAGAGAAUAAAACAAGUUAACAGCUUAGGAAGUAGGACAAUAAAUACAAAUAUUUCAUCUUAUUUAAUGGUGCAUGACUUCAGUGAAACUAUCUUUGCAAUGCAAUAUAUUUGAAACACAAAACCUUCAUUCUUCACAAUAUAAGCAAUGAGUUAAUCAGAGAAAACUAUUGCCAAACAAAGCACAGUAACAGUUGAAAAGGGAAGCAGGAAAACAAAUAUUUGACUAAUUUCUUCCAAGUUGUGGUGUGGUCCUGACACGACAGGGAGGGGCUGAAUUCGAGCAGCUAUCCGUAACUUGUGUUGAGCAAUUUUCCUUUUCAUUUGAUUUUUUUUUUUCUUGUAGAAAUUUCUAAGAAUACUCACAACUUGGUGUGGACAGAAAUCACUCUUGAAAUUUCAGAGCCCAAAGAGGGUAUUCGUAAAGACACCAGGCAGAGACAGAUGGACCACAUGCAUUAAGUGUUCAGAGGCUAACUUUUACGUCUGAUGUCAUUUUAAAGUCUAUAUUGGUUAAGAAAAAUCUUUUUUUGUCCUGGCUUUUGUUUGGCUGGUGUUUUUGCCUUCUCGUCCUUUUCACGCCUCUUCCUCCCCUCUAUCAGUUUUCCCAAUUUAUACAAGGUUUUGAUAAAAGCCAACACGGACUACUCUAAAGAGUUGCCCUUUGGAGGGCUGGAACCUUCUCUGAACAUUCCAAAUUGUGAGUGGUGCUCUUUGGAAGUUUCUCAUAGCACAUUCAGACAACACUCAGAGUCAACAUUUUCGCCCUAAGAAGAACACUUCAAUUGUAAUGACCCUAACCCAUUUUUGUUCUGCACUGUCAUCUCAGUUUGAGGCUUCCAACUUUCAAAAUGGUAUCACUGCUUAAACCAGAGAAGCGCACGCUGUCAUCUGAGCAGGCAGGCCAGCCUCCGCGGAGACUGAGCACGGGCAGAAGGAGAAGGAAAUCUGUCCACUUGGCCGGACCUUCUGGGGAUUGUGUGCAAGUUCCCUCAGGCGGACGCAGGGCCGGGUGACGAGCUGAGAUGGCGCACCGGGUCAUUGGCACACAAACACACCCAUUCCUGGUCCUGCCCCCGCCGCUGUGUGCUACUUGGGAGUCGGGGGUGGGGGUGGGGGUGGGGGCUCCCCUCACGCAGACAGACAGCCGUGCGGCAGGUGGGGUCCGCGUCGUGCUCUUUUGAACAGAGGCCUGUGGUUGGUUACUCAUCCCAGUAAACCAAAGGCAUUACGGUGAUCUCAAAAUAUUUUUGGUCUCUCUACAAAUUAUCGUGAUUAUGGCAGCACUUUUCUAAGCUGGAAUCUCAAACCAAAGGCACUUUCAUGCUGGAGUGCAGAAGAUCCACAAAUAGCUAAGUAUUUGGUCGUGAAUUUAAAAGGCAACAUUAAAAGUGUACCAUUUGCUUUUCAUAGUAAACUACGACACUGCAAAACCUUCCGUUUUGGUAUAGACAUUUGACAGUGUGGUCAAUGAACUGACUUCUGUCCACUUCAGAUUUCAGAUCAAGGAGUCAGUUUCCUUUAGAACUGGAGAAAAAUGGGCUGACGAGACAAAAAUGAAAACAAUGACUGCUUGCUCUGUUUAAAAACCAGGCCAAUCAGUAAAGGGACAUGGAGAACUGGUGUGAGAAAAGGCUGGCGGCACGACUAAGGUAUCACUAAGGCACUGCUUACCGGAACGCUUUGGCAGCUCUGAAUUUAAAACUUCCUACAAAAGUAACAGUAGUAAGAGAAAUGCUUCCAGCUUACAAAAGGGCUCACAGUUACGAGGCAGCCUUCUGCACUGCAAACCCCACACGCAACAUCGCAACGAUUUAAGGCUUUUCAGAAAUGACAUGUGCAGGGUUUUGCCACAGAAACAUCAACAGAAAGAAAGAAGCAAUGCAGACGUAUCCUCUUAAUGUCACAGGUGUGAAUACCAACACAUAACAUUGGUUCUACCCUUCCUUGGGACAGGUAUAGUGUACCAGAGUAGAGACAAAAUCAUACAAAUGAUCUGUACCUGGUGUGAAAAACUGACUGUCGUCUUGUGUGGUUUCAACAAUUUAUGUUUGUAUAAAAACAAACUGCAAAAGCCACUAGUGUACUGAGACGUUGAGGAGACUUGGGUUUGUAACACCAAGUGCUGGGAAAUGGGGGGCUGGGUUUUUGGCUGGUCCGAGUGUAGGACUCUGCUGGCGGGAUGCUUUGCCAAGAGAAAUUGGACUCAGAGCCUGUGGCAGGUGAACUGUCCUCAGGGUAAGGAAAAGGCUCAUCAGCUUUCAUAUCUGCUCAUGGAUGCCUCCCAGACAGGCAAUGCUGGUGAGAGAAACAUCAUCGGCAUCGGGUGAUGCUGCUGCCCCGGCAGAGGGAGGGGGUCUUAACCUCCCUCUCUCUCCUGCACUGACCUUGUUCGCAUGCUUGCAGGGACCACUGAAGCAUGAGCACCGAAGAGGAACCACCCCGCCAAGAGUGGGAGGAGUGGGAGGAGUCCCACAGCCUACUCUUAUUUCUGUCACUAAGCAGCUGGGGGACUCUGAGCAAAUCAUCUCUCCUCUGGGCCUUCACCUUCCCAUCUACAAAACGAAGGCGGGCACAGGCAUACCUCAUUUUAUUGUGCGUCACAGAUACUGCAUUUUUUUUUUACAAAGUGAAGGUUUGUGGCGACUCUGUGUCAAAGGAGCCUGCUGGCCUUGUUUUUCCAAGAGCAUCUGCUCACUGCUUGUCUCUGCGUCAUAUUCUAGUAUUUUUUGCAAAAUUUCAACUUUUUCAUUAUUUUUAUAUUUUUCAUGGUCAUCUGUAGUCUUUACGUUACUACUGUAAUUGUUUUGGCAUUUUUAAGCAAUAGAGUAUUUUUUUGUACGUGCACUGAUUUUUUUUUUUAGACUGAAUGCUAUUGCACACUUAAUAAACUACAAUAUAGGGGAAAUAGAACUUUAUAAAGUUGCACUGGGAAA